rnacentral:rRNA from 1 species
ACAGGAUUAGAUACCCUGGUAGUCCACGCCGUAAACGAUGAGUGCUAAGUGUUGGAGGGUUUCCGCCCUUCAGUGCUGCAGCAAACGCAUUAAGCACUCCGCCUGGGGAGUACGACCGCAAGGUUGAAACUCAAAGGAAUUGACGGGGGCCCGCACAAGCGGUGGAGCAUGUGGUUUAAUUCGAAGCAACGCGAAGAACCUUACCAGGUCUUGACAUCCUUUGACCACUCUAGAGAUAGAGCUUCCCCUUCGGGGGCAAAGUGACAGGUGGUGCAUGGUUGUCGUCAGCUCGUGUCGUGAGAUGUUGGGUUAAGUCCCGCAACGAGCGCAACCCUUAUUGUUAGUUGCCAUCAUUUAGUUGGGCACUCUAGCGAGACUGCCGGUGACAAACCGGAGGAAGGUGGGGAUGACGUCAAAUCAUCAUGCCCCUUAUGACCUGGGCUACACACGUGCUACAAUGGGAAGUACAACGAGUUGCGAAGUCGCGAGGCUAAGCUAAUCUCUUAAAGCUUCUCUCAGUUCGGAUUGUAGGCUGCAACUCGCCUACAUGAAGCCGGAAUCGCUAGUAAUCGCGGAUCAGCACGCCGCGGUGAAUACGUUCCCGGGCCUUGUACACAC